rnacentral:rRNA from 1 species
AGUGAACGCUGGCGGCAGGCCUAACACAUGCAAGUCGAACGGCAGCACAGGAGAGCUUGCUCUCUGGGUGGCGAGUGGCGGGCGGGUGAGGAAUAUAUCGGAAUCUACCCUUUCGUGGGGGAUAACGUAGGGAAACUUACGCUAAUACCGCAUACGAACUGAGGUUGAAAGCGGCGGACCGCAAGGCGUCGCGCGGAUGGAUGAGCCGAUAUCCGAUUAGCUAGUUGGCGGGGUAAAGGCCCACCAAGGCGACGAUCGGUAGCUGGUCUGAGAGGAUGAUCAGCAACACGGGAACUGAGACACGGUCCGGACUCCUACGGGAGGCAGCAGUGGGGAAUAUUGGACAAUGGGCGCAAGCCUGAUCCAGCCAUGCGGCGUGUGUGAAGAAGGCCUUCGGGUUGUAAAGCACUUUUGUUGGGAAAGAAAAGCGGUCGGUUAAUACCCGGUCGUUCUGACGGUACCCAAAGAAUAAGCACCGGCUAACUUCGUGCCAGCCGCCGCCGUAA